CUUGCCCGACGCGCUGAGAGGAGGUGCAUGGCCGUCGCCAGCUCGUGCCGUGAGGUGUCCGGUUAAGUCCGGCAACGAGCGAGACCCCCGCCCCUAGUUGCUCCCCUGGGGGCCACCCCAGGGGCACACUAGGGGGACUGCCGCCGUCUAAGGCGGAGGAAGGAGGGGGCCACGGCAGGUCAGCAUGCCCCGAAUCCCCCGGGCUGCACGCGGGCUACAAUGGCGGGGACAGCGGGAUCCGACCCCGAAAGGGGGAGGCAAUCCCUUAAACCCCGCCGUAGUUGGGAUCGAGGGCUGCAACUCGCCCUCGUGAACCAGGAAUCCCUAGUAACCGCGCGUUAGCAUCGCGCGGUGAAUACGUCCCUGCUCCU
rnacentral:rRNA from 1 species